rnacentral:rRNA from 1 species
UACGGGGGGUGCGAGCGUUGUCCGGAUUCACUGGGCGUAAAGGGCGCGUAGGCGGCCUGGUCAGUCGGACCUUUAAGCGCGGGGCUCACCCCCGUGGUGGGUUCGGGACGGCCGGGCUGGGGCGCGGCAGAGGGGGACGGAAUGCCGGGUGUAGUGGUGAAAUGCGUAGAGAUCCGGCGGAACACCGGUGGUGAAGACGGUCCCCUGGGCCGAGGCCGACGCUGAGGCGCGAGAGCGCGGGGAGCGAACCGG